GACGAUCUCAGUUCGGACUGCAGGCUGCAACUCGCCUGCACGAAGUUGGAAUUGCUAGUAAUCGUGGAUCAGCAUGCCACGGUGAAUACGUUCCCGGGUCUUGUACACACCGCCCGUCACACCAUGGGAGCCGGUAAUACCCUAAGUCAGUAGUCUAACCGCAAGGAGGACGCUGCCGAAGGUAGGAUUGGCGACUGGGGUGAAGUCGUAACAAGGUAGC
rnacentral:rRNA from 1 species